UACAGAGGUCCCAAGCGUUGUUCGGAUUCACUGGGCGUAAAGGGUGCGUAGGCGGUCGGGUAAGUCUGAUGUGAAAUCUCACAGCUUAACUGUGAAACUGCAUUGGAUACUAUCCGGCUCGAGGAAUGGAGGGGAGACUGGAAUACUUGGUGUAGCAGUGAAAUGCGUAGAUAUCAGGAGGAACACCGGUGGCGAAGGCGGGUCUCUGGGCCGAAAUUGACGCUGAGGAGCGAAAGCGUGGGGAGCAAACAGG
rnacentral:rRNA from 1 species